rnacentral:rRNA from 1 species
GCAAAACGCGAAGAACCUUACCUACUCUUGACAUCCACGGAACUUAGCAGAGAUGCUUUGGUGCCUUCGGGAACCGUGAGACAGGUGCUGCAUGGCUGUCGUCAGCUCGUGUUGUGAAAUGUUGGGUUAAGUCCCGCAACGAGCGCAACCCUUAUCCUUUGUUGCCAGCGGUCCGGCCGGGAACUCAAAGGAGACUGCCAGUGAUAAACUGGAGGAAGGUGGGAAUGACGUCAAGUCAUCAUGGCCCUUACGAGUAGGGCUACACACGUGCUACAAUGGCGCAUACAAAGAGAAGCGACCUCGCGAGAGCAAGCGGACCUCAUAAAGUGCGUCGUAGUCCGGAUUGGAGUCUGCAACUCGACUCCAUGAAGUCGGAAUCGCUAGUAAUCGUAGAUCAGAAUGCUACGGUGAAUACGUUCCCGGGUCUUGUACACACCG